rnacentral:rRNA from 1 species
AUGAGAGAAGUCAAAACCAAGAGCAAUGGAAGCCUGAACCGCCAUGGAGAUGAGACCCCAAGGGGUAAACCAGAAACCCGGAGAGAAUGGGUUGAUUGGAUGGUGAUUUCCAUGAUUGGGGGUGGAGAUUACCGGACGGUGGCGGCUAGGGUUACAGUGGGGUGGGCGGGGUGGAGCUCUCCAUUACUUGUUAUGUUGAGAUUGCUAUUGUUUCUUUCUUCUUCCUUGCAUAUGCUAGUUUUUGCUUGCCUUGAUAAUUUGUUUGCUUAUAAAAUGCCUAUGCAAAGGAAAUAUGUUAGACUUAAAUAUGUGUGUCACAUGUUUUAUGAUGCUCUCUUCGUGUUUCAAUUGAUAUCUUUCAUGUGA